CCUGGGUUCAAACCAUUUUCUUAUUUAGAGUCCAUAUUGUUAUCUUGUAUUUUAAAGCGUAUCUGAUAAGUAAGUUUCUUGCAUGGGCGUAAGUAUAACAGUUUGAUUUCUUUGCCUUAUAGUUUAGGUACAUUCAGUCAUGUCACAUUUCUCAAUAGGCGAUAUGCAUGAUGGCAUCAUUUACUACGAAGAUCAGACUGCUUUGAGUUGCUUCUAUUGUCAGGCAAAUUUCAAUAACUGUUUCUUUCUUUCCAGGAGAGAAGAAAAAUCUGAAUGACAAAGCGGAUUUGAAAAUGACGCCAUCAUGCAAAUUGCCUAUUCAUUGUUAACUACGGCUUGUAGAGACUGUUAGUUCUUCUUAUAAAUGUCCUUUACAUAAAUUAGGAAGAGUAAAGGUCCUAGAACAGAACGUUGUGGGACUCCAGUGACCGAAUUCCUGUUGGGAAAUAAAUAACUAUCAUUUUG